rnacentral:miRNA from 1 species
CUGUUACAGCUGCUUCUCUCUCUCUCUCUCUCUCUCUCUCUCUCUCUCUCUCUCUCUCUGUGUGUGUGUGUGUGUGUGUGUGUGUGAGAGAGAGAGAGAGAGAGAGAGAGAGAGAGAGAGACAGAGAAAGAGAGAGAAUGAAUUAUUUG